rnacentral:rRNA from 1 species
GGCACCCCAGGUCAGGGGGGAUUACCCGCUUA